GAUGAAGAACGUAGCGAAAUGCGAUAAGUAAUGUGAAUUGCAGAAUUCAGUGAAUCAUCGAAUCUUUGAACGCACAUUGCGCCCGCCAGUAUUCUGGCGGGCAUGCCUGUUCGAGCGUCAUUUCAACCAUCAAGCCCCCGGCUUGUGUUGGGGACCUGCGGCUGCCGCAGGCCCUGAAAUGCAGUGGCGGGCUCGCUGUCACUCCGAGCGUAGUAGUUACAUCUCGCUCUGGGCGUGCUGCGGGUUCCGGCCGUUAAAAGCCUUAUUUACCCAAGGUUGACCUCGGAUCAGGUAGGAAGACCCGCUGAACUUAAGCAUAUCAAUAGCGAGGA
rnacentral:misc_RNA from 1 species